AAACAACGCUAAAAAAUGUAAAUUUUGUUCAAAUUAUUAAAAAGUAAAAUAUGUGACAUACUUUUCAAUUUUCGCUCCUAAAUACGCUCCAAAAACCUUCCCAGCAACCACAAAGGUGCAGUUGCCUGUAUACACACUUUAUAACAACUGCAGUUGUCAGUUGAAAGUUGCCUGAUGCCAUCUGUAAUAUCGUUUCGGCAACUAGUAACGCAACUGAAGUUCGCUUGCUAUCGAUAAUC